rnacentral:rRNA from 1 species
AUUGAACGCUGGCGGCAGGCCUAACACAUGCAAGUCGAGCGGAUGAAGGCAGCUUGCUCCUGGUUUCAGCGGCGGACGGGUGAGUAAUGCCUAUGAAUCUGCCUGGUAGUGGUUGAUAACGUCCGGAAACGGGCGCUAAUACCGCAUACGUCCUGAGGGAGAAAGUGGGGGAUCUUCGGACCUCACGCUAUCAGAUGAGCCUAGGUCGGAUUAGCUAGUUGGUGGGGUAAAGGCCUACCAAGGCGACGAUCCGUAACUGGUCUGAGAGGAUGAUCAGUCACACUGGAACUGAGACACGGUCCAGACUCCUACGGGAGGCAGCAGUGGGGAAUAUUGGACAAUGGGCGAAAGCCUGAUCCAGCCAUGCCGCGUGUGUGAAGAAGGUCUUCGGAUUGUAAAGCACUUUAAGUUGGGAGGAAGGGCAGUAAGUUAAUACCUUGCUGUUUUGACGUUACCAACAGAAUAAGCACCGGCUAACUUCGUG